ensembl:lncRNA
CCCCCUCGCCGCAGCUUCCCGUCGGCCCACGGGAUAACAACCAAUCGCACCGGAGAACUCAUCCUCACCCCUAAGACGGCCAAGGAAGAGGAGGAGCCUAUCAAAGCGGUGGUGAAGCUACGGCGAGCGCCCUCCGACGCCCCUCGCCCAGCCUCCACCCCGCCGGUCAUCUCCGCCUCCGGAGUCCAAGACGAGGAUGACGAGGAGAGGAUCCUCGCUGAGCUGGAGAUAUUUCAGAGAGCUCCUGUUCUGUGUAGUCCCAAACCCAAGGCCCCAUUAAGGCCUUCCUGAUCCCAGGACAGAAUGCCAGUAUGGCCCCGGGGCCAGCAAAGGGCCCCCAGCCCACCGUGGCUGCCCGCCUCAAGAACCUCCAGCAGGGGAGCCUGGAGCGACCCAACAAGACCCGCAAGCAGAAGGAGGACUUCUCCUCAAAGAGCCCCGGGCAGCAGCAGGUAUUCCACUUCUGAGACAACAGUACCACCGCCUGGACUUACCGUCUGGCCCGCCUCCUCCAGACUUCCCCAGGAAACAAGUGACAAAAACACACAGGAGACACCUGCGGAAAAUGGCGACGAGGUGAAAAAAAAGAAGAAAAAGAUUCUCAAGAGCACUUAUCGAUAUGUUGCCAUCUGGUGAGCUGACUGUGAUCCGUAAAAGAUCGACCUGCCCAGAGCUAGCCCUCUGCUGGGAACAGGCUGGAGACCAAAUGAGACGGUACGAGCUUAUAAAGCCCACUCAGACCCUGCUCUCCCAAAAACCUCCUCCCGACCUCCUCCUCAGCUCCCCUAACCUGGUAUAUCGGGACACCCACCACCCUUCCAUCCAUCUAUCUAUGCAUCUUGGUUCAUCCAUCCAUCCACCCAUGCAUCCACCCAUCCAUCCACCCAUGCAUCAACCCUAUCAAACCCAUCCACCCAUCUAGUGUAUCUGUAUUCCAUGAAAGCUGACGCAGUCUGUCAGGUCUCAGUGUCACUGCGUCGCGACAAACCCGCACGCCCUCUGUUUCUGUCCCUAGAAGCCCCUUCAGUCUUUGUGAAUCUCUCCGAGCAUGUCGGCUGUAGAGGCUAACGCCCAUGCCUAGCCAGUGUCCCCAGAGGCCGGAUCACGGAGCAAAAACACAGCUGGAGAACGUUUGCUCUGUCUCUGCUGAGCCCUCUAAGCCCCUGAGACUCUUUCAGACACUGUUGUGUGGGUCUGACAUCCUCGUGCAAAUGACUGUGUAACUGAGAUUAGCUGGUAGCACUGAGGCUACAAGUUAGAGCCUAGGUUGGCUGGAAAAACUGGGGCUAACUGUUAGCGCUGAUGUUCGCUGGUAGCACUGAGUCUAGUUGUUUAGCGCUGAGGUUAGCUGGAAGCACCGAUGAUAGCUGAUAACAAGGAGGCUAGCCGUAAGCACUGAGGAUAGCUGUCGGCUCUGAGGCUAGCUGUAAGCACUGAGGCUAGCUGUUAGCUCUGAGGUUAGCUAGCACUGAGGUCAGUUAUCUGGUAAAUCUUAGCUGCAAAUUCUUCUCAUCUUCAACCCUCCCGCCCCUCCUCUCUGCACUGUCUAGCUUUCCAUACUCUUCCUCCCCCUUUAUCUUCCCUCCUCACCCUCUUCCUCUCCUCCUCCUCCUCCUCUGCUCUUCCUCCCUCUCUCUCUUCAUCUUCUGCACAUCCUCUCCUCCUCCUCCUCUCUCUCCUCUACUCUGCUUCAGAACUCUACUCAGUUUUAACUAUCCAUCUCCCAUACUCUUUCCUCCAUUAGCUAAAGAGAGGAAGAGAGAAGGGGGAGAGAGAGAGAGGUAGGGAGAGAGCUGAAUCAGGACAGAUAGCCUGUGGAAAUACUUUUGACAGCAGAGUCCCAAACAUAAAAGCAUCACUACAUUGUUCUGCUUAUAUAGUCUCUCUCUCCACAACGCACUUUCUCUCUCUCUCUUUUCUUUUUCUUUGUCUCGCUCUCUUUGUCGGUGUGUGUGUGUGUGUGUGUGUGUGUGUGUGUGUGUGUGUGUGUGUGUGUGUGUGUGUGUGUGUGUGUGUGUGUGUGUCUGUCUCUCUCUCUCUCUCUCUCUCUCUCUCUCUCUCUGUCUCUGUCUCUGUCUCUGUCUCUCCCUCCCUCUCGGCAUCUCUCAUUCUGAUGCACCAAGCUUCCCCAGUGGCCAAUAAGGAGACAGAAGCACAGAAUUUUAUCACACAAACAAACACACACACACACA